rnacentral:rRNA from 1 species
CGCAGGCUGCAACCCGCCUGCGUGAAGUUGGAAUUGCUAGUAAUCGCGGAUCAGCAUGCCGCGGUGAAUACGUUCCCGGGCCUUGUACACACCGCCCGUCACACCAUGGAAGUCGGUAAUGCCCGAAGUCAGUAGCCUAACCGCAAGGGGGGCGCUGCCGAAGGCAGGAUUGAUGACUGGGGUGAAGUCGUAACAAGGUAUC